rnacentral:sRNA from 1 species
UUUUUUUUAAAACUUCCAGCCUGUUCCUGUUACUUCCUGUAUGCCUGGCGUAUCCCAGCUUCCAAGAGCAAAUUCCAAAUGGUAAAAACGUCAAGCACCCCUGUAUAGCUAACUCAACAUGGCCAGGUGUCGGACAUCAGAACAAAAAUGGAGGCGGUGCAAGAAAUCCAUUUGGCCUUGCUUUUGCUGAUGCUGGAUUUAAGUGGACUAAAGCGUUGUGUGCAGCGGACACUGACGGGGACGGCAGGACUAAUGGAGCAGAGCUUGGUGACCCUUCAUGUGUUUGGACUCCAGGUCAAGUACCAGCACGCACGACUAAUAUCACACACCCAGGUGUCUGUGAGCCCAUGAGUUCUACUCAAUGUCAAGGCAAAAACAGUUUUGUCUCGUGUGUAGACGACAGCUUCGCGACGAACUGUGAAAUCGUUC